rnacentral:misc_RNA from 1 species
UGAACCGGACCAGACCAAAACAAGCGAUGGCGGAGGCUCUACCAUGCGACUUCGAUGUUUGGUUAAAAGACACUCUAAUUUCACUAAACACAGAUGACGAAAUUUUCAGCCCAUAUAUCAAGGGGAUCUUAGAAGGAGAGGAGAACAAAGAGGAAAAGGUGGAAGCUCUACAGGGAAUUCUUGCGGAGAUAACGGAUACUGGAAUUGAAUCACUCUGUGAUGACAUCUUGAAGAAAUGGACCCUGCUUGCAGAACCGGAAGAGCCCUCAGAUACCACGAAAAAGGUUGAGUUUGAAGAAAAGAUUGCCAAGAUUAUGGAGGAGCAGGCUCAGUGCGUAGUGGUGAACAAGACGCGCUCCAAGGAGGAAGAAUCCCUGAAGAAUGCCAUAUUGGCACAGUAUGCUGAGGUAUCUGAUGGUGAAUGCAGUGAUGAGGAGGAGGGCGAACAGUCAAGCCAAGGAGGUCUAAUGGGAGUGAAGAACACGAAUGCAGAGGAGGUGAUCAAGGCAGAACGUGAGAGGAGGGAGAAGAACAAAGAGGAGUCACAGCGCAAAAAGGAAAAGGAUAAGGAGGAUAGAUGACAUGACCAUCACUUCAUGAAAAUAUUUGGCCAGAGAGGCGGAUGUCGGGAACAUUCCAUCAUGGGAAAAGUUGAUGGGAAAGACUCGCCACAAGUUCUUCAUAUGCUGUAUAAAUAUAGAUCACUUCGUAAGUUAAAACAUAUUACCAGGGAGUCUCGAUGGAAUCAUAUUUCAUGUGCUAAAAGCUAAGCAGAAGUCCAAAGAUGAGGAAAGAAAAGAGAAGGAGAAGAAACGCACACAGAAGGGAGAGCGAAGACGGUGAUUGUCUGCAAAUAUAGCCUGUACCAUUUUCAUUUGGAAUUUAUGUUACACCAAUAAAUGUAUCAGCUGAUGCUUUGAGGCAUUUGUUUAUUUACUCUUUUUUUCUAAUAAAAGCUUCAGUCUUUUGCUAAAGGUGAACUAAUACUUCAUCACAUGCUGCUUUUUGGGGUUGUUUACUUCUUCCUUUUUGCAGUGAUUUUUAAGAAAUUUGAUAUUUUCUCUCUCUAACUCAUCUCUUCAUGAGCCACAUCUUGUUAACAUUUGGAAUAAAAGUUUAUAGAUACAGAUAAGUUUUUUUCAUUAUUGUUGUUUUAUUUGCUUCAAAAAAGCCAAAAACAAUGCAGAUUGCAUUUGUUUGUCCAUGCAAUACUUAUACAAUAUAUAGAUACUCUUGCAGUUCUUGUAGUUUGUAAAUGAAAUCUCAAGAUGCAGAAGAAUCAUUUAGGUACAUUAAAUUUGUAAUAUUUUCUCCACUUCCAGUUUCUGUUCCUUAGUACAUAUCAGACUCGUAGGGAUAUGACCCUUGGCUCUGUAUUUCUUGGACCUAAAGUAACUGUUCUUGUAAGUGUCUUAGACUCAUUUUAAGAUUUCUUAGAAUUGUGGUCUAGCAAGGUCCAAAUGUACUAUAUAAAAAAUAUUUUUUUUUUUCCAUAUUCAGAUUCAAGCUUGAAUUGUUUAUCACAGAAUAUUGAUAUUUGUCUUUAUGAAUGCUUUUAAGGUCAAAUACAUAUUUUGCGAAUGCAGUGAAGAUUUUUAUAUCUUGACAAAUCCUUCAGUGAGUAUUAUUGUAAUUCACUAUUGACAGUAAAGCAUUUUUCAUAUUAUAUAU